UUCCUCGCUGUGAAUCAUCAUAUCAAUAGCCUGGUCGGGAGCAGGUUAUGUUGGAGAUUAGAGAUCAACCGGUGUAAAAGCAUGGCCUACUGACCAAUCAAUACUCGAUUAAUAAUGGCGUCACCGUUCCUAGAAGAUCCGGUGGAGCUCGGUGCGAGAGAGAGAGAGAGAGAGAGAGAGAGAGAGAGAGGUGUGCUCAGAAAAGUUAAAACAUUUAGAGACCGACAACCCCGUUAACAUUCCCUG